CGAGAACUCCCGAGCGAAGCAACAAAACCAUCAAAUAUGGCUGAGCCUCUCGGCUCGUCCUGCAGCCGCCGCGGCCGCGGCCUGAGACGCGCACCCCGACCCGCGCGCCCCCGCGCCUCCGCCCCCGCGUACCUGCUGCGCACGGGCUGGGCCUCCGCGGGCUGCGCGCCGCGCCGCAUGGGUCCGGGCCACCGAGGCCCCGCGGGGAGCCGGGCGGGCCCCUGCUGUCGCCCGCGCGCUCGGCCGGCCCGGCGCGCCCAGGCCCUCCCGGUAGGGCGUGCGGCUGGCGGCGGAGGAAGCGCGGGGACGCAGACUCAUUUCUGGGUCACUGCUGCCACAGGGGGGAGCACUUUAAUCCCCAGCCAAAGGAGAGGGUGGGGACGGUGGGGCGGGGAGCCGCUGGUAGGGGCUUGCUCCCGUUAACUCUUGGGGUCCUGACUGCAGCCAGAGGGGCUCUCCCCCUCACCCACCUCUGGAGCCCGCAAACCCUCCAGGUGGAAGGGUUCUUCCUAGGAGGAAGAAGGAAACAAAGCAAAGCAGCAGAAAUCCUAAAUGUGUGUGCUCUUUCUCCAUCUCCCAUUUCCUUAACAAGGAGCAUAAAGACUCCCUCCCUGACAGGAUCUCUGCUUCGCUCUUCCGUCCUGCUAAGAACAAGUGAGGCGC
ensembl:antisense Gm31266 predicted gene, 31266